UACGAGGGGUGCAAGCGUUGCUCGGAAUUAUUGGGCGUAAAGGGUAGGUAGGUGGUCUCGUUUGUCUGGGGUGAAAUCCUUGAGCUUAACUCAAGAAGUGCCCUAGAAACGGCGAGACUAGAGUCCUGGAGAGGGUCGUGGAAUUCCCGGUGUAGCGGUGAAAUGCGUAGAGAUCAGGAAGAACACCGGUGGCGAAAGCGCUCUGCUGGACCUUAACUGACACUGAGGGACGAAAGCUAGGGGAGCGAAUGGG
rnacentral:rRNA from 1 species